rnacentral:rRNA from 1 species
GAACUCUGGAAUGAGUCUUCACCUGAAAGGACACCUACACUAUGCUUAUAGGCUUCGCCCAAGGAUGGGGCCGCACGAUCAGGUUGUUGGCGAGGUAAUGCACUCACCAAGCCUUUACCGGUGCGGGCCGUGGGAGCGGGAGUUCGGAGAUGGGUACUGAGACAAGGACCCAGGCCCUACGGGGCGCAGCAGUCGCGAAAACUUUGCAAUAAGCGCAAGCUUGACAUGGCUAUCCCGAGUGCCAUCCGCUGAGGAAGGCUUUUACCCAGUCUAGAAAGCUGGGGGAAUAAGGAGAGGGCAAGUCUGGUGUCAGCCGCCGCGGUAAUACCAGCUCUCCGAGUGGUGUGGAUGUUUAUUGGGCCUAAAGCAUCCGUAGCUGGCUAAGUUAGUCCCCUGUUAAAUCCACCGAAUUAAUCGUUGGA